rnacentral:rRNA from 1 species
CAGUCGCCGCGGUAAUACGUAGGGUGCGAGCGUUAAUCGGAAUUACUGGGCGUAAAGCGUGCGCAGGCGGUUAUAUAAGACAGAUGUGAAAUCCCCGGGCUCAACCUGGGACCUGCAUUUGUGACUGUAUAGCUAGAGUACGGUAGAGGGGGAUGGAAUUCCGCGUGUAGCAGUGAAAUGCGUAGAUAUGCGGAGGAACACCGAUGGCGAAGGCAAUCCCCUGGACCUGUACUGACGCUCAUGCACGAAAGCGUGGGGAGCAAACAGGAUUAGAUACCCCCGUAGUCCCUGUCUCUUAUAU